UACGUAGGGGGCAAGCGUUGUCCGGAUUUAUUGGGCGUAAAGCGCGUGUAGGCGGAUCUUUUAAGUCAGGGGUGAAAGCCCGAGGCUCAACCUCGGAACUGCCUUCGAUACUGCGGGGCUAGAGUGCAGAAGGGGCAACUGGAAUUCUCGGUGUAGCGGUGAAAUGCGUAGAUAUCGAGAGGAACACCUGCGGCGAAGGCGGGUUGCUGGGCUGACACUGACGCUGAAGCGCGAAAGCUAGGGGAGCGAACGGG
rnacentral:rRNA from 1 species